UUUCUUCUAUUUCUGGUUAGUGGAUAAAUUCUUUUAUUUGUUCUCUAGUUCCACAUUGUCUCAUUACUGUGACUUUGUAGUAAGCCUUAAAAAUAGGUUAACUUUAGAAUCAGUUUGCUGAUAUUCCCAAAGUAAGUUACUAACAUCUUAAAAUGAUGACUCUUUGUGUCUUGAUAGAUGGGUCAUCUUUCUGUUUACUAAUAUUACUUGAUGUAUUUCAUCAAUGUUUUGUAACUUCUUUAUAAAGGUCUUUCACAUAUAUUUCUAGAUUUGUGCCUAAGACAAUUUUCUGUUUCAGAUUCUAAUCAUUUUAAUGGGUUUAAAGAUAAUCCUGACCUUAGUGUGGUAAUACAAAAGAACUUGUAUUCCCAGAUCCCAGGAAAGAUGUUUAAGCAGGAUCAUCAGAAAUUCAAGGCAAUAUUUGGCUACAUGGAGAAUUUGAGGCCAGCCUGUGGAAAAUGGGCUCCUGUUUUAAAACAAACAAGCAAACAAACAAACAAACAAACAAACCAGACAACAUCAACCAACCAACCAGCCAGCCAACCAAACCUCCACAGAGAAAAUGUUUUGUGUGGUCCAUAGAUCAGCAGCAACUACACUUCUUUGGAAGAUUAUUCAUGGCUCCAACCCAAACUUGGUACCCAAAUCUGGAAAUAGAUGGUUUGAAUGAUUCUCAUUUGAAGGUAAUGGUUUGUGUGUAAGGUGGGAACUCAGUACAGAAUAGCAAAGGGGGUCUCUCUUCUCCAUCCUUCGUGGGAUGUCUUUUUAUUGGCAUCUAAGUUUUGUUAAAGAGUUAUUUCCAUUUUAAGUUGUUGUAUUCAUAUUGUCCUGCCCCUUUCCAGCACUGUGGUAGUAGCUUUUUGGAAUAAUGCUACUAUUUUCUAGACUCAUCGAGAAGUAUGGUUGAAGAUAGGUUUUAAGGGUAGGGUAUUUAGUAUUUGAAUCUGACUCAGCCACUAACUAACUUCUUGCCUCUGUACUAAUCAGUUUGUUUUUCUUGUCCUUCCUUUACUCUUAUAAAGUAAGGAGAAUGAUUGCCGCUCCUCUAUUUAUUAUGAAGCACCCUUAAAGAUAUAAUAGUAUGGAAGUGCUUUAUAAGUGUGAAAAACAUUGAUUAUGUAAGUAUUGUUUUUCGUAUUCUCUGGUUGCUCAUAAGAAAUGACCGGAAUGUUUUGAGUUUGAGUGUUUUCACUCAAGCCUCAUAGAUGGUUUACUAGCUCAGGCAGACUUGAGUAUUCUCUAAUGAUGGCACAUCUUUGGCUCACUGCCUGUGUGGUUCUCAGAGGCAUUGACCUCUAGUUCAUUCAGCUGUACC
rnacentral:lncRNA from 1 species